CUGAUCCGCAAUCUGUGCUAUGCUGAAAAGGGUAGGAGGAACUUCACAUUGCAUAGCCCUCUAUGAUCUCCUGCACAAAUUAGAGGUCACUUCCCCCUGUCUAACCCAUGUAAUGACCGAUUCUACGCUGACUGGAAAUGAUGGCUCCACUAUUGUCAGAUGUGGGGCGAAGGUUCUGACAUACUGAAGAAUCUGAGAAGCUGGAUGUUGCUAGUGCUACAACAGUGAGAGCAUCUUAAACCUUUCCAGAAGGCAACCAAAUUAAGAUCAAGCAUCAUUUUAGAGGCAAUAGAUUCUGCUUUGUUACGAUUACAGGCCAGGGAAGUGGUCCCACUCUCAUGAAGGCUGCAAUCUAGAUAACAAGGCGCCAUCAGAAGGCAUGCUGGGAGCUGUCAUUCAACAGAAGCUACAGGGUGGACAUUCUACUGGGAUCGUUCAGAUUAAAUACGGCAAGACCAAAAAGAUAAUGGCACAGACAGAGGUACAUUUUUAGUAUGAUGUAAACGAUCUACAAUAGUUAUUUUUACUGAAAAAAAAAUUAACAUUUUACAACAGCAGUAUCGGCGCAAAUAAUAAUUACCUGCCAUUCAGACACCGACGCAAAGAAUAGGAUGCUCCGCCUCCACAGGUACGAGAAC